rnacentral:rRNA from 1 species
CAGAGGUGGCAAGCGUUGUUCGGAAUUACUGGGCGUAAAGGGCGCGUAGGCGGCCUUCUAAGUCAGACGUGAAAAUCCCCCGGCUUAACCUGGGAACUGCGUCUGAUACUGGGGAGGCUUGAGUAUGGGAGAGGGAUGUAGAAUUCCAGGUGUAGCGGUGAAAUGCGUAGAUAUCUGGAGGAAUACCGGUGGCGAAGGCGGCAUCCUGGACCAUAACUGACGCUGAGGCGCGAAAGCUAGGGGAGCAAACGGGAUU